UGAACGGGGACCUGCUCAAGCCCGAGUCGCUGCCGCCGGCGCUGGUCGGCAUCCACACGGUGAUCGACUGC
rnacentral:tRNA from 1 species